CCAAACUUGGUCAUUUAGAGGAAGUAAAAGUCGUAACAAGGUUUCCAUAUAAGGGUGUAUGUUGUAGAAUCCUUCAUGAAGCCUUGGAACUCAAGUUACUGGUUACAAGGGGGUUUAUGUAAAGCCCGUGUUUCAAGUAGCAACACCGCCCUCUUGCUAGGAUGUCCAUCAUAGACUACCAGCAGCUUUGGUGCAAGCAUCGCUUACCCAAAAGUCCACAGAUCAAACGGCGGUGGUUCGAACUUUCCUUGCCGUAGGUGAACCUGCGGAAGGAUCAUUACAGAGAACUUGCCCUUCAGGGUAAUCUCCCACCCUUUGUUUACAAUACCAUGUUGCUUUGGCAGGCCCGUCUUCUUGACCACUGGCCUUGGCUGGUCCGUGCCUGCCAGAGGAUUAAAAACCCUAGUUUUUUGUGUUUCUGAGUUUUGUUUCAAUAGUUAAAACUUUCAACAACGGAUCUCUUGGUUCUGGCAUCGAUGAAGAACGCAGC
rnacentral:misc_RNA from 1 species